rnacentral:rRNA from 1 species
AUUAAAGUUGUUGCAGUUAAAAAGCUCGUAGUUGGAUUUCUGGGGGUAGCUUGGGUUUGUUUUGCGUCGCAAGGCGCGAUUCUGAACUCACUCCCCCAUCUUUCAAUGGAACUCUCAUGAUCGCAAGGUUGUGGGGGGAAAGUUGAUCUUUCACUGUGAACAAAAUGGAGUGUUCAAAGCAGGCUUUACGCUGUGAACAUUUAAGCAUGGAAUGAUAAAUCAGGACGUUUGUCUUAUUUGUCGGUUUUUUGACGAAUGUAAUGUUUAACAGAAACAGGGGGGGGUACUCGUAUUUGAUUGUCAGAGGUGAAAUUCUUGGAUUUAUUAAAGACGAACAACUGCGAAAGCAUUAACCAACUAUGCUUUCAUUAAUCAAGAACGAAAGUUUGGGGAUCGAAGAUGAUUAGAUACCAUCGUAGUCCAAACUAUAAACGAUUCCGACUCGGGAUUCUUAGAUGUCUUUUUUGACUUUAGGAGCACCGUAUGAGAAAUCAAAGCCUUUGGGUUCCGGGGGGAGUAUGGUCGCAAGGCUGAAACAUAAAGGAAUUGACGGAAGGGCACACCAGAAGUGGAGCCUGCGGCUUAAUUUGACCCAACACGGGGAAACUCACCAGGUCCAGACAUAAUGAGGAUUGACAGUUUGAAAGCACUUUCUUGAUUCUAUGGGUGGUGGUGCAUGGCCGUUCUUAGUUGGUGGAGUGAUUUGUCUGGUUGAUUCCGAUAACGAACGAGACCCGGGCUCUAAAAUAGUGCUUUUAUUCUCACGAAUGGCGAGCGCUUCUUUAGAGGACAACUCAGGUUUACUGAGAGGAAGCACCGGUCAAUAACAGGUCUGUGAUGCCCUUAGAUGUUCUGGGCUGCACGCGCGCUACAAUGAUUGUUUCAACGGGUUUUUUUUCCUUGUCCGAGAGGACUGGGUAAUCCUUUAAAUAGCAAUCGUGAUGGGGCUCGAUGCUUGUAAUUAUUCAUCGUCAACGAGGAAUUUCUAGUAUGUGUAGUUCAUCAGACUACGCAGAAUGCGUCCCUGCCCUUUGUACACACCGCCCGUCGCAGCUACCGAUUGGAUGGUCCGAUGAAAUCUCUGGAGGCUUUGAUUUUUGGCGCAAGCUGAGGUCAUGCCAAAGUUGAUUGAAUCUUAUCAUCUAGAGGAAGCUGAAGU